rnacentral:lncRNA from 1 species
CUGGAAGAAAAAUAAGAAGCAUCUGAAAUACAGUGUAUUGGAAUUUUACAUCACUGAUAUUAACAAUUAGCUGCAGCAACAAGUUUCAGUACUUUCUGAAAUUUCUUACCACUGUGUCAAAUUUAUCAUGGGGUUAACAUUCGCACCCAAUCUUAUUAAAAUUUACAGCUAAUAAAGGCAUUAUUAAUCAAUUUGAAAUUGCUAUAUUCUUACCCCUUGAUUACAGUUAUUACAUCUGCUUCUCCACUUGAGUAAAUUAGGACGAAAGCAGUUGUGUGGAGCUUCCUCAAAUCGCAGAUACAGGCGAAGGUACUUCGCCGGAUCCAAGAGGACCUCCUCGUGUACUGGCGGUCGGACCAAGUGGAGACAAUGAUUGGAAAAGGUUAAAAAAACAGAGUAUAGUACUUAUUGCUUGUACAAAAUAAAAUGCUGAGGGAGUUCAGUUUAUAUAUCUAUAUGGUUUGUUAUCUCAGCCUUGGGGCACCUUUGAGCUUGAAAUAGACAAGGUUCUAUAUUGAAAUUUACCUUUAUGGACCUAUAAGUGGGUUUCAAAUUUUCAUCUUCUGUUAGCUCUAUGAAAUCAAUGUUUUUUAUAGAUCAAUAAAGAUAUCGUAAGCACAGUAAAAGGAAAACAAUUCAUUAAUUCAGAAGAGCACAAAUGGCCUAAAAUUAACUCCUAAUGUCUACUGCACAGAUAGGAAAUAUCAAAUCAGAUAAACAUUCAAAAUCAAAGAACGUACUAUGAAUCAGCGAGUCUGACAAAGCCUGUAAAAAAGUUCAGUGCUCAUGAAUGCUAAAUCCUGAUUCGUAACCAAUCUAUAGCAUCAGCGGAUUAGCUGGAGUUCAGCUCUCAUGAUUCAAUCUUGUCCUACUUAUUCAGAAAGAAGUUGGGUGCGAGUGUUGGAACACAGACGCACGAAGGAAGAGAAAGGGACCUAGGGGCGCUUUGGCUGGAGCACAUGGUGGGCGUCACGCGUCGUCCACCUCGAGCUCAAAGUCAAAACUUGGUUCGACAUUGACACCGGCCCUGAUCUCUAGCUUCCCUUAUGGCUAGACUGUCGGUGGAGGCGAGCGCCCUUGCCAGGUUCCAGGGAGCCGCAGUCCGGUCACGCCGCCGCGCCUGGAGCCUGCUGCCUUACCAGCUCGACGGUGGAAGGGACAUGCGCCGGUGCCGUACCGCGCUAAGGGACUCGCGCCGCCGCUCGUGCCGGGACUUGCGGCCACUCGCUAAAACGCCUUGGCUGGGAGCUGCCGUGCCGAGGGAUCGCCGCCACAUCGCCGCCACGCCAGCGCCUCACGUGAUGGCCGGGACCUGCCGUGCCGAGGGCCAGUCGUCGGGGCCGUUGGGUGCGAGAGUUGCCCGCAACCGGGUUGAAGGGUGAGAGACCCGCUACACCCCGAUCGGACGGCCCAUAUCGCGUUUUGGCUCGAUCCGACGUUUCGCGGUUUAACGGGCGAUGUGG